GUGGGGAAUAUUGCGCAAUGGGGGAAACCCUGACGCAGCAACGCCGCGUGAGUGAUGAAGGUCUUCGGAUUGUAAAGCUCUGUUAAUCGGGACGAAAGAGCCUAGUGUGAAUAAUGCUAGGAAGUGACGGUACCGGAAUAGAAAGCCACGGCUAACUACGUGCCAGCAGCCGCGGUAAUACGUAGGUGGCAAGCGUUGUCCGGAAUUAUUGGGCGUAAAGCGCGCGCAGGCGGAUCUGCCAGUCUGUCUUAAAAGUGCGAGGCUCAACCUCGUGAGGGGACAGAAACUGGUAUUCUUGAGUGUCGGAGAGGAAAGUGGAAUUCCAAGUGUAGCGGUGAAAUGCGUAGAGAUUUGGAAGAACACCAGUGGCGAAGGCGACUUUCUGGACGAAAACUGACGCUGAGGCGCGAAAGCCAGGGGAGCGAACGGGAUUAGAAACCCCAGUAGUCC
rnacentral:rRNA from 1 species